rnacentral:rRNA from 1 species
UACGAAGGGGGCUAGCGUUGCUCGGAAUUACUGGGCGUAAAGCGCGCGUAGGCGGGUCGUUAAGUCGGGGGUGAAAUCCUGGAGCUCAACUCCAGAACUGCCUUCGAUACUGGCGAUCUUGAGUCCGGGAGAGGUGAGUGGAACUCGAGUGUAGAGGUGAAAUUCGUAGAUAUUCGGAAGAACACCAGUGGCGAAGGCGGCUCACUGGCCCGGUACUGACGCUGAGGUGCGAAAAGCGUGGGGAGCAAACAGGGAUUAAGAUA